AUUGAACGCUGGCGGCAUGCCUUACACAUGCAAGUCGAAUGGUAACAGGUCUUCGGAUGCUGACGAGUGGCGAACGGGUGAGUAAUACAUCGGAACGUGCCCGAGAGUGGGGGAUAACGAGGCGAAAGCUUUGCUAAUACCGCAUACGAUCUCAGGAUGAAAGCAGGGGACCGCAAGGCCUUGCGCUCACGGAGCGGCCGAUGGCAGGUUAGGUAGUUGGUGGGAUAAAAGCUUACCAAGCCGACGAUCUGUAGCUGGUCUGAGAGGACGACCAGCCACACUGGGACUGAGACACGGCCCAGACUCCUACGGGAGGCAGCAGUGGGGAAUUUUGGACAAUGGGCGCAAGCCUGAUUCAGCCAUGCCGCGUGCAGGAUGAAGGCCUUCGGGUUGUAAACUGCUUUUGUACGGAACGGAAAGACUCUGGUUAAUACCUGGGGUCCAUGACGGUACCGUAAGAAUAAGCACCGGCUAACUACGUGCCAGCCGCCGCCGUAACAC
rnacentral:rRNA from 1 species